rnacentral:rRNA from 1 species
AACGAACGCUGGCGGCAUGCCUAACACAUGCAAGUCGAACGAGGCCCUUCGGGGUUUAGUGGCGCACGGGUGCGUAACGCGUGGGAAUCUGCCCUUUGGUUCGGAAUAACAGCUGGAAACGGCUGCUAAUACCGGAUGAUGACGAAAGUCCAAAGAUUUAUCGCCAGAGGAUGAGCCCGCGUUGGAUUAGAUAGUUGGUGGGGUAAAGGCCUACCAAGCCGACGAUCCAUAGCUGGUCUGAGAGGAUGAUCAGCCACACUGGGACUGAGACACGGCCCAGACUCCUACGGGAGGCAGCAGUGGGGAAUAUUGGACAAUGGGCGCAAGCCUGAUCCAGCAAUGCCGCGUGAGUGAUGAAGGCCCUAGGGUUGUAAAGCUCUUUUACCCGGGAAGAUAAUGACUGUACCGGGAGAAUAAGCCCCGGCUAACUCCGUG